CUGACAUUCCUGAUGGUGUUCCUUCUGCCGGAGCCGGGAGAACGGACCCACCUCCUGUGUGUUCCAGUAUCAUCAAUAUACUUGAUCCUGAGAUGUCCCUUGGGCAAAGGGGAGUCCUGGGAACCGUUUGCUCCCAAACCUGGAGCAAGUCUUUGCACGUACUGAACAAACGGAGUUUCACCGUGAAAGAAGUGCCAUCCCUGCCGGUGGUGGCUGCUGCACUCCUGUGGCUGCCAGCCACUUCCACAUCAGCCAUGAUCCAGCUUUUUGACCUCUCCUCCCAUCCGUGAAUCCUCGGCGUGGAUGCAAAGCCUUCGGACGGCAGCGCUGAGCUGCAGAACAAGGGGUCCGGCUCGUAAAAUUUGAGAAAAAAAAAAAAAAGAAAGAAAAAACAAAAAAACAACCCCCAAAACAACCCUAGAGAUGCAAAUCUGUGGGUUGGCCAGUUUUUGGGAAGGGAUGCAGGGAUGCUCGGCGCGUGCACCGCCCGGUGUCACCAGGAGGUGGCACAGCUCGAGCGGGGAUGUCGCGCCGGGUCCCGCAUCCCAGGCUGGACCCGCAUCCCGGGCUGGACCCGCAUCCCGGGCUGGCCCCGCAUCCCGGCACCCCCCAAAAAGCGAGCGGCGGGAUCCGUCGGUUCCAGGAAAGAGGAGAAGAGCGUCUCGCGUCUCCUUUCUCGGAAAGCCAUUGUGCAAAACCCUCGCGCGUGGAAAACAAACGGACAAAAAAAA